GGACGUAUUUAUUCUACAGUUAUUGAACAGUUACUUAUCGAUACAUCUUGAAGUUAGCCUACAAGCUGUCGUUAAAAGUUCCGUCUUUCAGUAGACCUUGUGCAGCGUACUCUCAGCUCAAUACGAAAUUCUUGACUGCGUUCUCGAGUUUUGUUUAACGGUAAUGAGAAGGAGUUAGAUAAUGCACAGAGGCAAGGUUUUGUCUGGUCUUGCAGGAGUCCCAGGUGCUUUUUCCGCCGCGUACACUGUCGCAAUCGUUACACGUCUGAGGAACCAGACUGGCGGCGCAUAGGUAAAGCCGGCUGCUAGUGCAAGCCGCAGUCCCCUACAUUGUCGCUAUAAAGAGGAAAUUUGUACGUGUACUAAGUGUACGCAACGUUUCUUUGUUUAGUAUAAUUUGGCGGUGCCUCCAGCCUCCGCGUGGCGGGCGCGUUUAAGAGAAAGCUUUAGCUCGGGUGUUCCAAUCUAAAUACAUGUAAACGCAGUAUUCGUUUUUCUCGGCAACCACUGCACCAAAUUUGACGAGGUUUGUUACAUUUAAAACAAAAGCUUAGAAUCUAGAACUUCUACUGGGUACACAAAAGAUUUAAGCGAAACAACUGAAGCAAAGCGGGGCAUGGUGCUUUCAGUGCCCAAUUUUUUUAUAGAACAUGUAGUUUUCAAUUAUAAAGGGGACUGUAAUGUGAUGUCUUUAAGUAGGGGGUUGUCUUAUAUUCAGAGUCGACUUAUGUUUCAAUAUGAACGGGAAUGAAGUAUUACGCAAUUCUAUUAACGAAAUUUACCUCUGCUGUUUAGUUUCCAUAUUGUGCGUAGAAGCAACAGUGCGUGCACUUUCAGCUGCUCAGUUUAUCUUCAAUGCUGCUCUCAUUUUGUAGAGUUCAUCACUUGUGCAUGUGCAACACAUUGGCGGAGGCAAUACGAACUGCAUUUCUCACUAGCUGGACAAGUCGGAAUGGCAAUGCACCUUGGAGAACAAGACUCGAAUUGUGAAAGUCUGGUGGUUUCACAGAACUUUGUUUUAUGUCAAGAUGGGCUGACACCAUGUCACCUGAUGCUGUCACUCUCUGUUCUAUCUGUGUCCCCUCUCGCCUCGCACAUAAGCGCUGCAGUUUCUUCAGUGCUUCUGAGGGGAGUCACGGAUAAUUGCAGCUGUCAGGUGGCUAAUGUGACAACGGCCAGGGAGCUCCAGAGGACAUUGUGCACAUUCGAUGCGGUGGGGUGAAAACAAGCUUCUCCCAUCUCCUUUCCUCUCUUACUUGUAUAAUGCCUGUCAUGUAUAUACACACUCUGAACCCCCCCCCCCCGAUGUGGUGUGUGUGACAUCAGCAGCAGUCCACAGCAGCAGCUGGAGUGGGAAAGUCAGAGGAAGAGACAAAGAAAGCUUCACUUUAAAACAAAAUGCGUAAAGGUUUCUAUGCUUACCCAAUGAGGAAACCCGUCCAUCACGUAAGAUGAUUGCUUUCAAGAUAAGGCCCGCAUGAGCGAGCGAAUUGUAAGAUCGGGCCUGCGCAGCCGUGCCAUAAGCAGCGGCCGCUGAUGUACAGUUGAUAAUGGUUUGCAUCGAGAGGAGGCAGCAUCAUUGACCACAUCUACGUAUGACGUCUACCUAACGUGACAGUUCAAUUACGUCAUGUAGAACAGCACGCAUUGGCCAAUGCUCAUCUUCCAUGAAGCAGCAACAUCAUCCAAAUGCACCAUAAUAUAAAAGGAGUGAACAGUGCUACUACUGGCCUCUGCUUCAUACUCAUGCUGGUCUCAGUUUAACAUUUUGGUGUUGCAAAUGCGCUUCUCCAUUUCAUGAUUUUUUUCGUGGCGUUUCUCGCAAUUAUAUGAAACGCAGCAGCAUAUGACGACAAAACAGUAGGUGAUCAGUCGCAAAUGCUUAUGCAUCAUUUAGAUAACUCCCACAGGAUACUCUGCAUGUAAUUUUAUCUUUUUCCACUUUCAGUAUGCUUCAGCGCUAUGGUAUGCUUGACCGCGUAACCUUGCUAUGUCCAGUGUUUGUGACCCCUUCCCACUGUUGGUAUACUUCAUCACAAUGCUAAGUGCAUGGUUGAAUGCAUAACACCACUGUAUUGGGAUGAAGCUAACUUAUGGGUCUGACAUUACAGUUUUAAUUUAGCGUACGCAACUAUAGCGUAUGCUAUACGCUAAAGUAUAUAUAGCGUAUGCUAAGCAGCACACAUUUCUUUAGAUUGAGUUGGCCUGUGAGAUGUUCAGAUCUUAAAGGCCAUGUGCCGUCAUUGCGGCUAUCUCCCGACUGUAGCUAUAGGUGGUGCUAACAUGUCGGAUGUUUCUUUCGUUAGGUUUCAACUCACUCGAAACGAGAAGCGAUCUCGAAAACACCACAAGGUUAUCCAUAAUACUCUGUCGUCGAAGCAGCCUGAGACUAAGCGAAAGCCAUUUACACAGUCAGUUGCAAAGAACGAAGUCCAUUUUACAAAAGCAACGCCAAAUUCAAUUCGAAGCUGGCAGCCGGGGCCGCCGCCAUGUUUCAUGCAAAUUCCGCAAACCACGCAAAGACACUAAUGCUAAAUCUGAGAAAUAGUGCGCGUACGCUAUACGCAAUGGGUCGUUUAGCGUUCUGCGCAUGCGCAGUGAUGACCCACUAUUUUAUAGUGUACGCUAAACUAAAACUGUCUAUUAUGCAGCACAUUUUAGGUGCUUGCUGGUUUUAAAGUCCGAAAGCUGAGAUACAACAGCGUCGCACACUAUCACGUGAGGAAAACGAACCGCUGCAUGCAGCAAGUAGCAUCAGCAUAAGCACUAGAUUACAGUUGAACAGCUCUACAAUGAAGACCACAAUUAAUUUGCCUGUAAAACAAAGAAACUUAUGCGUCCCUGGCGGCUGAUUUACGUUUAUAAAACGAAUGCCGCACCAGUGCCGCCACUGCCCCGCGAAGAUGUCACCAGGGUAAGCUGUGCGCUAGCGCUAACAGCAGUGUAUUUGAAGAGCAUGCUGAUAUUACUAGUUCUGUUGCCCUGCUCCAGGAUUCACUCACCUCGUAUGCUACUUGUUGUGACGGAUCAACGGCUGACGAAUGCAUGGAUAGGCCGCGAAUGUCAACGAAGGCGACCAAAAAUUUUUCAGCAAGGGAGGCUUAGGGGCACUAGACAAUCGGGGGCUUUGCUUUGCAUGGUUCCUGCAUUUGGUUGGAGAGCAAGCUGGGAACCUCAAUGGAGCAUAGGGUGGCUACAGUAGAACGUGCUGUCAGGGAUAUUUUGCAGAGAAAAAUUAGCGGUCUAUUUCAUUAAGUCUCUCUUGAAUUCUUGUUAAAGAUUUUCUUUUGUUGAAAGUGCUUAGCUAUUGUGAGCAGUGAGCUGCGCAACCUUUAAAACAAAGUGACCUGCAUAGCAAAGGAUUUUGAAGGUGCGAGCACUUUGUUAAAAAGGCGUUUGACUACAUAGAUACAUUCAGAGCAGCGCUUUCUACCCUUUAGCCCAUGCAGAAUUUGUAGGUCCUAUUUGCGCCACCAGGAUCUGCCGAUGUACUGCAGUGAAGCCUUUAAUAUGUGUCCCAAUGUCUAAUGCUACGGAGUUCAAUAUAUCCAUUUAAUGUCUGAGCAAGUUUGAUGUAUGAAGUUUCAUAUACAUGUAAUUCUCUUGGUGAUUCACCACCUGUUAUUUAAGCAGUAAUUCUAUUUAUAAUUGUUUCAUAUAACAAGGUUUAAUUGUAAUGAAUUAUUGCUGUACGACAUUCUUUCCAUUACUAUAACUAAUACUCUCAAGCUUGGAAUCUCCCAGCUUCCUCAUACAGUUGGCCAAUGGGACAGUGCACCUGACACAACAAGCCAUGUCGUACACUUACUCUGUGCAUAUUCACAGCCCAUGCAAGCUUGUGCUGAAAGCUUGUUGCUGCUUGCAGAGGUAAACGUUUCACUUGACUGUUGUAAUGAUAUCGCUGACUAUGUGAUGGAAUAAACAGUUACUCCACAAUAAAACAUAGUAUGAAGCCAUUUUGUAAACAUGAGCUUGAAGUAAAACUGUGCCAUGCAUCGUCGAAAAAGGAAAACAACAUUACAGGGAUGAGGAUACUUAUCGUGGGCUUGUCUCUAUAGCUUUUAUGUCUUGCUUUGUCCACAUUAUGCUGCACAGUUUUAGUUGAAGCGGUUAUUGGCUGGCAGACGUCUUCCCAUCAUGUUACCACAAGUUUUGAUGAAAGCAGUCUUGGCCAGCCUCUCUACCCCUGGUUCUCUGGCUUAGGUGCUGGUGCCUCCAGUAGUUCAGAUUUGAAUGGGUGCAAAUUAAUUUUCCCUCUCAGUGAAAUCAUACCAACUUUCCCAGGUUACCGGGCUUCUACAAUUCCUCCUAAGUUGAACUUGUUCAACAGCUUUAUCGAGUACUUUAAGUAGGCAGUGUAUUCUAUGUCGUAGGGCAAACAGAAAAUUAGCAUAA